rnacentral:rRNA from 1 species
AUUGAACGCUGGCGGCAGGCCUAACACAUGCAAGUCGAGCGGAUGACGGGAGCUUGCUCCUUGAUUCAGCGGCGGACGGGUGAGUAAUGCCUAGGAAUCUGCCUGGUAGUGGGGGGCAACGUUUCGAAAGGAACGCUAAUACCGCAUACGUCCUACGGGAGAAAGCAGGGGACCUUCGGGCCUUGCGCUAUCAGAUGAGCCUAGGUCGGAUUAGCUAGUAGGUGAGGUAAUGGCUCACCUAGGCGACGAUCCGUAACUGGUCUGAGAGGAUGAUCAGUCACACUGGAACUGAGAUACGGUCCAGACUCCUACGGGAGGCAGCAGUGGGGAAUAUUGGACAAUGGGCGAAAGCCUGAUCCAGCCAUGCCGCGUGUGUGAAGAAGGUCUUCGGAUUGUAAAGCACUUUAAGUUGGGAGGAAGGGCAGUAAGCUAAUACCUUGCUGUUUUGACGUUACCGACAGAAUAAGCACCGGCUAACUCUGUGCCAGCCGCCGCAGUAA